rnacentral:rRNA from 1 species
UACAGAGGCCUCGAGCGUUAAUCGGAAUCACUGGGCUUAAAGCGUACGCAGGCGGACGUGCAGGCAUCUUGUGAAAGCCCUCGACUCAAUCGAGGAAUUGCUUGGUGAACCGCACGCCUUGAGACAGGUAGGGGCCAUCGGAACGAUAGGUGGAGUGGUGAAAUGCGUUGAUAUCUAUCGGAACGCCGAAGGAGAAAUCAGGUGGCUGGGCCUGUUCUGACGCUCAUGUACGAAAGCGUGGGGAGCGAACGGG